GGCUUGAUGACCGAGCGGCCAGGUAGCGGUCUGCAAAACCGCGCACGCCGGUUCGACUCCGGCUCAAGCCU
rnacentral:tRNA from 1 species